rnacentral:rRNA from 1 species
UUUUAACGGGCUGCGGUAUUUUGACCGUGCUAAGGUAGCAUAAUCAAUUGUUUUUUAAUUGAAAACUAGUAUGAACGGUUUAAUUUACUUAAUUAGUUUGUAAUUUUUAAUAGUAAGUUAAAUAUAAAGUAAGAAUUCUUUAAUAAAUUAGGGGACGAUAAGACCCUAAAAGCUUUAUGAUUGGCAUUUAAUUAGUGAUAGCGGUGUUAUUAAUUCACUGGGGCAGUGAGUUUAGGUAUAUUUAAGUAUAAUUAAAAGCUCCUUUAAAUAAAGAUUUCAUGUAUAAGUUACUUUAGGGAUAACAGUGCAAUAUAUU